rnacentral:misc_RNA from 1 species
AAAGUCGUAACAAGGUAACCGUAGGUGAACCUGCGGUUGGAUCAUUAAAAAUGAGAGUCUUUGGACUCGCACUAGACUACUCUCGGGUAGUCUGGUAAACCCCUGUGAAUUGUUUGCACUUAAAUGUGUCUCUACUCCUAUAAUGACUGAAUCAAUGAGAUUAAUUAAAAAUAACUUUUAACAACGGAUCUCUUGGCUCCC